rnacentral:rRNA from 1 species
CACGUAGGGCGCAAGCGUUGUCCGGAAUUAUUGGGCGUAAAGAGCUCGUAGGCGGUCUGUUGCGUCCGCUGUGAAAUCCCGGGGCUCAACCCCGGAACUGCAUCCGAUACUGCCAUGCUUGAGGGUUGGAGAGGUAGCUGGAAUUCUCGGUGUAGCAGUGAAAUGCGUGGAUAUCGAGAGGAACACUCGUGGCGAAGGCGAGCUACUGGACAACAUCUGACGCUGAGGCUCGAAGGCUAGGGGAGCAAAAGGG